rnacentral:rRNA from 1 species
UACAGAGGGUGCGAGCGUUAAUCGGAAUUACUGGGCGUAAAGCGCGCGUAGGCGGCUUUGCAAGUCGAGUGUGAAAUCCCCAGGCUUAACCUGGGAACUGCAUUCGAGACUGCAUAGCUAGAGUAUGGGAGAGGGAAGUGGAAUUUCAGGCGUAGCGGUGAAAUGCGUAGAUAUCUGAAGGAACAUCAGUGGCGAAAGCGACUUCCUGGACCAAUACUGACGCUCAUGUGCGAAAGCGUGGGGAGCAAACAGG